AGAGUUUGAUCCUGGCUCAGGACGAACGCUGGCGGCGUGCCUAACACAUGCAAGUCGAACGGGAUUAAGAGAGCUUGCUUUCUUAAUUUAGUGGCGGACGGGUGAGUAACGCGUAAGAAGCUGUCCGAUGCAGGGGGACAACAGACGGAAACAUCUGCUAAUACCCCAUAAGCCUAAGGGUAAAAGAAUAAUCGGCAUCGGAGGUGCUUGCGUCCUAUCAGCUAGUAGGGGCGGUAAAAGCGCACCUAGGCGAAGACGGGUAGCCGGACUGAGAGGUUGGACGGCCACAUUGGAACUGAGACACGGUCCAGACUCCUACGGGAGGCAGCAGUGGGGAAUAUUGGGCAAUGGGGGCAACCCUGACCCAGCGACGCCGCGUGAGUGAAGAAAUCCCUCGGGAUGUAAAGCUCUGUUGUACGGGACGAGAGAGAGACGGUACCGUACGAGGAAGCCCCGGCAAACUACGUGCCAGCAGCCGCGGUAAUACGUAGGGGGCGAGCGUUGUCCGGAAUUACUGGGCGUAAAGCGCACGCAGGCUGAUUGUUAAGUCAGAUGUAAAAUAGUGAGGCUCAACUUCAUUAUGCGUCUGAUACUGGCAGUCUAGAGUAUGUGAGAGGAAAGCGGAAUUCCUGGUGUAGCGGUGAAAUGCGUAGAUAUCAGGAGGAACACCGGUGGCGAAGGCGGCUUUCUGGCACAAGACUGACGCUCAUGUGCGAAAGCCAGGGAAAGCGAACGGGAUUAGAUACCCCGGUAGUCCUGGCCGUAAAACGAUGGAUACUAGGUGUGGGUGUCGCAGGGCAUCCGUGCCGGAGUUAACGCGAAUAAGUAUCCCGCCUGGGAACUACGGCCGCAAGGCUGAAACUCAAAGGAAUUGACGGGGGCCCGCACAAGCGGUGGAGCACGUGGUUUAAUUCGAUGCAAACCGAAGAACCUUACCUGGAUUUGACAUACAUGUGGUAGUGAAGGGAAACUGGAACGACCUUAGCUUGCUAAGGAGCAUGAACAGGUGCUGCAUGGUAGUCGUCAGCUCGUGUCGUGAGAUGUUGGGUUAAGUCCCGCAACGAGCGCAACCCCUAUGGUCAGUUGCUAACAGGAGAGCUGAGCACUCUGGCGAGACUGCCGCCGACAAGGCGGAGGAAGGUGGGGACGACGUCAAAUCAUCAUGGCCUUUAUGUCCAGGGCGACACACGUGCUACAAUGGCCGGCACAGACGGAAGCGACUUUGCGAAAAGGAGCGGAUCCUCGAAAGCCGGUCCCAGUUCGGACUGCAGUCUGCAACUCGACUGCACGAAGUCGGAAUCGCUAGUAAUCGCAGAUCAGCCAAGCUGCGGUGAAUACGUUCCCGGGCCUUGCACUCACCGCCCGUCA
rnacentral:rRNA from 1 species